UUCAAACAUCAAAGUCCAGUCAGAGGCCUGUUCUCUGUGUGAUUAACUGAACACUGAAACUAGUUGAAGAUUUACCUGCUACAACCAAGCAAAGCCUCAUGACAGAGGAUCUGAGCUGAGUUGACUCAAACUCUGCUUUUGUCAUUAUUUCUGCAUGCAGAGGCAGCAGAAAACAUGAGAACUGAUGGACAACAAACGUGAUAUUCUUCUCCUGAUUACAGUCCUGGUUGUUGCCGUGUUCUGUAAAGGUUUCCUGGCYGAUGGUUCCAGAAAGCUCAGCGUCUCGGUGGGUUCAGAGGUGACCCUCGGCUGCCUGUUUGACCAACAGUCCAGACUGGUGGAGCCAGGUGCUCUCACUGUUGAGUGGAACAUGGUGGACAGUCAUGCACAGAAGGUUACUGUUUACAUGUUUGAGGAUGGAAAAGCUCAUGUGAGCAGAAGAGGCUCUGCAGUGGAUGAGAAACAGAUGCUUCAGAGUGACGUCUCUCUACAUCUUUGGAAUAUCUCUGUGGCUGAUGAAGGCCUGUACACCUGUAGGAUCAUCACCCCUGUGGUCCACACAGAGACCACCUUUCUGGAAGUGCUAGCUAAGCCAACAGUGUUGCUGCCUGAACACGUAGCAGUGACUGAAGGAGAGGAGAGGACCUUGCAGUGUGACAUCUCAGGCUUCUAUCCAAAGAAGCUCGCUGUAACAUGGCACAUCCAAAACGGCUCCCACACCAUUCAAGCAGGMGGGAGCCACCACAGCCGUGUCUGCACAGAGCUGGCUGUUCACAAUCCAGAUGGCACCUACAGCCUUCGCAGCAGCAUCACUCUGCACUCAAACGUAGUGACAAAUACAGAGAUCCUGGUCAUCUGCCAGGUGGAACACCAAACCUUCAACCGUCUAUUCAACAAAUCUGCAACAUUAACUGUUCAAGCUCCACCACAGCCACUCUACAGAGCAGACACACUGAUAGCUGUCACCAGUCUGCUGUUGGUCACAUCUUUCAUAGGAGGAGCUGUCCUCAUCUCCAGGUGUUGCUGCAAAGCUCCACCAAGUGUUUCUGAAAUCUGCCAGCCAGGCAUCGUAUACGCUCAUCUGCCAUGUGACCUUAAAUGCACCAUCCAAGGAGCCAUGCAGUGGGAGCUGAAAGUGAAAUGGUUUAAAUUAAAAGACCUCGCAGAGUCAGAGGUGAAGUCAGAGUGUGCUUUACUGGUUACUGAUGAUAUCAGCGAGCAGACUUCUCUACAGUCAGACGGCGAACAUCACACAUCUGUGCUGACUGUGUGUCUGAGACUGAGCGAUGACCGGACCACAUAUCAGUGUGUGGUGUGGUACAGGGGGAAGAGCUUCAUUAGAGAGACCACAGUCAGGGUUAAUGUGGAGCCAUCUUUCCUUCAGAUAUCCAGCAUCCCUCAGAUUCCCGAGGUGGAGAGACUGCUGGUUCUCUGCUGUCGGGUGGAGAACUUCUACCCUAAAAACAUGGACUUGGACUGGUCCAGGAGUGACGGAGAGAUUGUUGGCACUGUCACUCGCUUUGGCCCUUUUUCUGACCACCAUGGUCUGUACAGCAUGUGGAGUAAAGUCCAACUGGUCAUGGCCAGUGAAGAUGAGAGGAUCGUCUAUACAUGCCGUGUUUACCACUCCAGCUUCCCCACUCCAGGCUACAAGGAUGUCCUGUACCACAUCAACAUUAAAGGAACACCACCUGACGUGAUGUUCAUCAGCUGCGAGCCUUGUUGUCCUCUGGUGGAUGAAGAGUGCACGCUGCACCUGUGCAUCAAAGACUUCUGCCCUAAAGAUGUCUUGGUCUCAUGGACUAAAGAUGAAGAAACUGUGUCGGGCAGUGUCUUUAACACUCCUCCCAGCCUAAAUAUCACUGGCCUCUACUCCAUGUUCAGUUUUCUGAGGGUCACACCCAGAAUGGACGACCAGGGUUCAGUUUUCAGAUGCAGGGUGGUGCACAGCGCUCAGAGGGAGCCAGAGGAGAGAACUUUUAUAUUUUCAAAACCUGCACUUUCCUUUACAGACAGCCACAGCUGACCUCUUUUAGUAAGAUCCCACGUUACUGAAGUUUUAAACAGUUCAGCAGCUUACUGAAUAUACAGUAGGCUAUGCAGGCUGAGGUUAGAAACUAUAAAGAUGUGGGUUUUGGUACUGAAAAUCCAGGGUGGAACACCAGAACUGAAUUUCAGAUUGUUAUGUUGUUGUCACAUAGAGGUUAUUUCAUAAACAGAUUAAAGGCACAGUGUGUAGGAUUUGUUGCUUUCAGCGACAUCUAGCGGUUGAGUGGUUGAAUCAUCCUCCCUGGU